rnacentral:rRNA from 1 species
GACGAACGCUGGCGGCGUGCUUAACACAUGCAAGUCGAACGGAAAGGCCCUGCUUUUUUGCGGUGCUCGAGUGGCGAACGCGUGAGUAACACGUGAAUAACCUGCCCUUGACUUUGGGAUAACUUCAGGUAACUGGGGCUACUACCGUAUCGCAUCUCCUGCUGCAUGGUGGGGGUUGGAAAUUUUCGGCCGUAGGGGAUGGACUCGCGGCUUAUCAGCUUGUUGGUGGGGUAGUGGUUUCCCCAGGCUUUGACGGAUAGCCGGCAUGAGAGGGUGAACGGCCACAAGGGGCCUGAGAGAGGGAGCAGACUCCAACGGGAGGCAGUAGGGGGGAAUAUUGUACAGCGGGCGGACGCGUGAUGAAGAAACGCUGCGUGCGGGAAGACGGCCUGCGGGUUGUAAACCGCUUUCGCCUGUGACGAAGCGUGAGUGACGGUAAUGGGUAAAGAAGCACCGGCUAACUACGUG